GACGAACGCUGGCGGCGUGCUUAACACAUGCAAGUCGAACGGAAAGGCCCUGCUUUUGUGGGGUGCUCGAGUGGCGAACGGGUGAGUAACACGUGAGUAACCUGCCCUUGACUUUGGGAUAACUUCAGGAAACUGGGGCUAAUACCGGAUAGGAGCUCCUGCUGCAUGGUGGGGGUUGGAAAGUUUCGGCGGUUGGGGAUGGACUCGCGGCUUAUCAGCUUGUUGGUGGGGUAGUGGCUUACCAAGGCUUUGACGGGUAGCCGGACUGAGAGGGUGACCGGCCACAUGGGGACUGAGAUACGGCCCAGACUCCUACGGGAGGCAGCAGUGGGGAAUAUUGCACAAUGGGCGGAAGCCUGAUGCAGCAACGCCGCGUGCGGGAUGACGGCCUUCGGGUUGUAAACCGCUUUCGCCUGUGACGAAGCGUGAGUGACGGUAAUGGGUAAAGAAGCACCGGCUAACUACGUG
rnacentral:rRNA from 1 species